rnacentral:lncRNA from 1 species
CAGGACUUCAGACCAGUACCAGACAGAGAAAGACUUCAAACCAGAGAAGAAGUUCAGACCAGGAGGAGACCAUGGGGCCACGCAUGGCAGAGUGUCCAGAGUUUAUAGGUUUUUUCCCUGACAGCGCUGGAACGCAAGGCUGGGUCCAGAGCUGGGCAGGACCUCCGGGUUUGGUCCCAGGUUUGCCUGAACCUCCGGGUUCGGUCCCAGACUGGGCAGAACCUCCGGGUUCGGUCCCAGACUGGGCAGAACCUCCGGGUUUGGUCCCAGGCUGGGCCGAACUUCUGGGUUUGCUCCCGACCUGGUACUUGACUCCAGAAGCAGCAGAAGACCUUGAAGAACCAGAAGACACAGACGCCCCUGAGGAGGAGCUUCCUGAGUGGACUGCGUUCUACUUCGACGAGGUGACCCCUGGCUGGGAGACCCCUGAGGCGUCUGCUUCCUCAGCCUCCAGUGACUCUGAAGGUGAGUAUUCCCAGGAGUCACCACUUGGACGCAGUGUCUCCAGGAAGAGGUACGUAGACGGUUCUGAGGAACCUGCAUCGUCCGACUCUGACAGUCACUGUGAGCCUGGGACGAAGAGGCCGAGACGGGACGACAGCUCUGACUCAUCUUAGAGUCAUCUGUACUUUUCCUUUUCCUGCUCCUCUCCAUCUAUGAGCAGAGUUCCCCGUUUGUACCCGGCUUCCUUGUUUCAGGUAAGUUGGCCUUUGCGUCUUGCGAGACGACUGAUGUCCCAGGCAACGACUGGUACCGGGACUUUUUUAAUGGUAAGGAUUUUAUUUUUUGUUUCUUUAUGACAGGCCACAGUUGGAGUGGUUGUCCUGUCACUGUUAUGAAAACAUGCAUAAUAUAUUAGGUUGAGUUAGGUUAGAGUUAAAAAUUAGAGAUAACCUUUUUAAUCCCAGCAAGUGAGGACAAGAGGAGACAUCAACAGAGGACAGAGGCUAAAGAAGGCUUCUUUAUCAACCACAACAAUGUAAGUAAAAAUACUGAACACACCUUUACUGUAAAAAUAAACUUGACUUUAUAAUAAUGCUUGUAAAAUGU